AUACGUAGGUGACAAGCGUUAUCCGGAUUUACUGGGCGUAAAGGGCGCGUAGGCGGCGCGGUAAGUCUGGAGUGAAAGUCCUGCUUUCAAGGUGGGAAUUGCUUUGGAUACUGCCGCGCUUGAGUGCAGGAGAGGUGAUCGGAAUUUCCGGUGUAGCGGUGAAAUGCGUAGAGAUCGGGAGGAAUACCAGUGGCGAAGGCGGGUAACUGGACUGCAACUGACGCUGAGGCGCGAAAGUGUGGGGAGCAAACAGGAUUAGAUACCCUGGUAGUCCACACUGUAAACGAUGAAUGCUAGGUGUAAGAGGUAUCGACCCCUUUUGUGCCGGAGUCAACACAAUAAGCAUUCCGCCUGCGGAGUACGGCCGCAAGGUUGAAACUCAAAUGAAUUGGCGGGG
rnacentral:rRNA from 1 species